rnacentral:lncRNA from 1 species
AUUUCAUAUUACUAUUUAAAGUUUAAAUUCAAUGAUCAUAUUGUCAAAUCAUUUGAAAUUUUUCUUAUAUGAAAUGCUAAAUUAUGAAAGGAAAGAUAGAGAGAGAAAAAGGAAACAAAGAAAAAAUAAAAAUUUUGAAAAUAUAGUAGAUGUAAAAUGACUAAAUUGCCUAUGUAUUAAAAGACAAAAAUAUUCUUUUUUGAGAUACCUGGUAACCGGUACCUCUCCCAAAGUAACCUGCUAUUGCAGGUCACAAUUUUAAAAAAACUAAAUCUGAGCCGUUGAAUACGCGUGAAUGAACGGUAACAAAAAAAAAAAAAAGUAUAGAAGCUUUACUCAUAUUAAACCAAACACUAAAUUUGCAUUUGCAAUGCAGUUACAACUGUAGUGUAAUUGCAAUUAUAUGCAACCAAACGGUCCCUUAGAGGAUUUUAAGGAUAUAAGAGCCUAAAGACGAUUUCAAUUAUAU